ACGGGUGAGUAACGCGUGGGAACGUGCCUUCCGGUUCGGAAUAACCCUGGGAAACUAGGGCUAAUACCGGAUACGCCCUUAUGGGGAAAGGUUUACUGCCGGAAGAUCGGCCCGCGUCUGAUUAGCUAGUUGGUGGGGUAACGGCCUACCAAGGCGACGAUCAGUAGCUGGUCUGAGAGGAUGAUCAGCCACACUGGGACUGAGACACGGCCCAGACUCCUACGGGAGGCAGCAGUGGGGAAUAUUGGACAAUGGGCGCAAGCCUGAUCCAGCCAUGCCGCGUGAGUGAUGAAGGCCUUAGGGUUGUAAAGCUCUUUUAUCCGGGACGAUAAUGACGGUACCGGAGGAAUAAGCCCCGGCUAACUUCGUGCCAGCAGCCGCGGUAAUACGAAGGGGGCUAGCGUUGCUCGGAAUCACUGGGCGUAAAGGGCGCGUAGGCGGCGUUUUAAGUCGGGGGUGAAAGCCUGUGGCUCAACCACAGAAUGGCCUUCGAUACUGGGACGCUUGAGUAUGGUAGAGGUUGGUGGAACUGCGGGUGUAGAGGUGAAAUUCGUAGA
rnacentral:rRNA from 1 species